GGGAGUGUGGCUCAGUUGGUAGGGCGCUGGCCUUCCGUGCCCAAGGCCCUGGGUUCAAUCCCCAGCACCA
rnacentral:tRNA from 1 species